ACGGUCGCAUCACGUUGAAACACUGUUUCCCGCCCGAUCACCGAAGUCAAGCAAAAUUAAGCCUGGUUACUACUUAGAUGGGUGACCACUUCGGAAUAACAGUUGCUGUAA